UCAACUGACAGGAAGUUAGAAUUAUCGUCUUCAACUGACAGGAUAAUCAUUAAGAGUAAUCUUUAGUUCACCAUUUACUGCUGGAAGUGUUGAGAAAAACUGGGACUUCUUUUUCAUUCUUCUGACUGUUGGCUGAACAAAGAGUAAUCAAGAAUUAUGUGAACACCAUGAAUAUAACAAAACUAUCACUGCUGUGCAAAUACAUUCCAGGUAUAAGCAACCGAAUAGUAAAACUGAGAAACUUUAUAUGAAAAAAAGUAAUUCAUGAACUGACUUACAUCUACUUCAGAAG
rnacentral:lncRNA from 1 species